UACGUAGGGUGCGAGCGUUAAUCGGAAUUACUGGGCGUAAAGCGUGCGCAGGCGGUUUUGUAAGCCAGAUGUGAAAUCCCCGGGCUUAACCUGGGAAUGGCAUUUGGGACUGCAAGGCUUGAGUGCGGCAGAGGAGACUGGAAUUCCUGGUGUAGCAGUGAAAUGCGUAGAUAUCAGGAGGAACACCAAUGGCGAAGGCAGCACUCUGGGACGUGACUGACGCUGAGACGCGAAAGCGUGGGGAGCAAACAGG
rnacentral:rRNA from 1 species